ensembl:miRNA mir27b microRNA 27b
AGAGCUUAGCUGAUUGGUGAACAGUGAUUGAUCUCCUUUGUUCACAGUGGCUAAGUUCUGC